rnacentral:rRNA from 1 species
CACGUACUGUGCAAACGUUAUUCGGAAUCACUGGGCUUAAAGGGUAUGUAGGCGGUUUGGAAAGUCAGAUGUGAAAUGCCACAGCUCAACUGUGGCACUGCGUUUGAAACUUCCAGGCUAGAGUAUUCCAGAGGUAUGCGGAACUUAUGGUGGAGCGGUGAAAUGCGUUGAUAUCAUGGGGAACACCAGAGGCGAAGGCGGCAUACUGGGGGAUAACUGACGCUGAGAUACGAAAGCCAGGGUAGCGAACGGG